UUAUAACAUUUCACAUGUCUUUUCCUUGCCGUUAUAGUUUAGAUACAUCUUAAAGUUUACGUCCAUGGCGAAUUAAUUGCUGUUGAAAUUCCAACAUGUGUAUACUUCGGGUAUUACACAUAAUUAUAUUUAUACAUGGAUACAUGGAUAACCGUCUGGCUCAAUUUUCCUCCAGUUAGAUAUAUGCUACCAAGGGCGUAUCUUGAUGCUACUUAUACACUGGGCUUUAAGUAGCUAUAGUUAGCCAAUGAUUAAUUAUUAUUGCUAUCGUGCUUUGUGGUUUAGUACGGUGAUAUCAUCACACUCACUUAAUUGCAGGCACUCUCUGACCUGGGGUAGAAGAACCGCUUGGCUGCUGAAAAGUGGAAGCAGAUGACUGGUGAAGAGAAAGGGAAGUGGGAAGUACAAACAAAUGGCCGAUGGUGGAGAAUCCACACACUUUGGCACGAAACUCAAAGAAUUUUGAGCAACCUGCAAGAAUGUACAUGUAAGAUUGAUCACUGUAACAAUGGCUUACUUUUGCCUAUGUACUGUGAGCGCAUACAUGUAUAUCCACAAUUGAUACGCGUAUACAUACGGUUGAUACGUUAUAUAUGGUUUCUGUUACAUAUUUAUUUCAGAGACUACUACAAGUCCAUUGUAUAUACUUGUUUUUGUUUUUGUUUUUGUGUGACUGUGACUGGGCUGAUGUGACUGGGCUGAGAAGUUUGGAGUACACGUGACGUUCAAUGACAGGUACUCAGAGUGGUUGUAAAUUCUUGGAGACCAAUCCCACAUCCUCAACUAAACCAGGUGUGUUCCUGUUAUUAUAUCAGUGCUAACCCCAGCCUUCAAGCAUGAAAGAGUUGCGUUCAGUCGUGCCAAAUAUUGUGAGUUUUAUGAGUUGUUUCCAAGCAGGUAUAUAAUUAUACUCAUGAUCAUAAUUAUUUUUAAUGCUGUUGGUGAAUCUCAAACAAGAGUGCCAUAUAAGCUUCUCAAACCUGAACAUGUGAUUGGUCUCCCUCCUGGCAUUACCCUGAGGCCAACAUGUGUCACGAUGGUUUCAUUACAAUGACUUUUAGUUCUGAGCAUGCGCAAUAAAUUUUUAAUUUUUGACUGGUAUUUCCUGGGGGUAGCCCUAAUUGAGUACGUGCAAAUCAUUCAGUAUUGCUGAUAUCAGCACAAAAACAUUGAACAACAACAAGACGAGAGGAGCUCUCUUCUUUGGUCCAAGUUUGACGCUCACCCUGUGAGCGGUUGAAAAGUUACGCUUUGGUAGGGUGGCAGUUUUCAAAAGACUGCACUGCGAGUUCAACAAUUUUCUGGAGCAGAGAGGAUGUUGUAAAGAGAAGAAGAAAGGCAGCUGCUGCGUUGAGUUUUAUACAUCAUAGAAUUUUGCUACCAGUGUGUGUGAGUGCCCAGUAUACUAUACCAUGUACCAGUUGAAAGCUAGGGAACUUAUAGUAGCUAGCUAGCUAAAGACUCAGCACAGUAAGACACUUUUCUGUUGAGAGGGUAGAGCUAGCACCUCAACUGUAAUAAUUAUAUAAUAGCCGGCCGGCCAUAGCCAAACAUUUAUGCCAGCACCCGCAAUCCAACUCAAAGGCUCGAGAGAGUGAUGAAAGAACAUUAUCUGAAGAACUGCCCUGAAAAUUUCAGGGCUAGGAUACCUACAAUCAAGAGAAGGACAGAUGUUGGCGUAGACUAGACUUGGGUGUGGAUGGAUUCUGCCCCUUGCUCUGAGUGGAAGCCUACUCCCACACCCCAUCUCCUGAUCCAUGGCACUAUGUUGUCCUCCAGCAUAUGAAGCUUGGGAGUGACUCUCUUAUUAGCCAUUCGUUGUGGCAAUUUGCAAACAAAUCUUUCUGCUAUCACCUCAGAGUCGUCUGCUAAUAGCGGACAGUGGAUCAUAGUUGUCUCGAUGAUGGAUGAUGUAAUGAGGCCGAUGUUGGGUUGCUAUAAUUAUUAUCACAACCUCUCCUUCUACAAUCUCUUGCUUGCUCUCGCAGGGACUCAAGUUGAUCACUGCUUCAUGAUCGAGAGUUGUCCAGAUCGCAAGAUCGUCGAAGAAGUCUGCUUCAUCUUCCAGUUCGUCGGCCUCAUGAUACAGCGUAUCCAUUUCUCGGAGGUUGUCCAUGCGGAGGUUGUCAAUGUGCAGGUUGUCGAUGUGCUUCUGGAAACCUAUGCCUCCGGCAUGACCAUGUGAGCGUUGCUGAAGAGCUAUCAGCACGUCCAAGUGAUGGACAUCCUCCUCAAACAAGGUUCCCACCACCCUUCUGAAUAAACUUUGUGUGAUCGAUGUCUAGUGUACGAGGGGAGGGGAGCUCUGAUUCCGCUUCGUUGGACUGGAUGGUGAUAGCUGCAUCUCAGUGGAUGUGACAUGGCACCACAAGCAACAAUGUCGACAUGUAAGAUCGAACUGAACACUUAAAGAACAUUUGUGCUUAACUGACCAGCUGCCCCUGAAAGUCCGUAUAUUCUGCACUGGAACUCGUAGUCCCCAAACAAAAAAACACUGUCCCUGAAAAAUCAAUUGUACUUUGUUGGUUAUCACCUUCAUUGUGGUACUUACUGCCAUGUCAAUGCCAUGAGGGCCUCGACUUGGGACUUGGUCUCUGUACCCAUCGAGACUAUCGUGAAGAUUCGUGACAGAAUCGUUAGCCUCAAAGCAGGCAAACACAAAUGUGUUGUUGAUUGAGUUAGGGUGAGCUACGUUUGCAAGCUGCAGGGACAUCUUAAAUGUCCCACCACCUUUGUCUCCUCCAACCUUAACCCAAACUUCAUUCAUCAUCUGGGAUCAAUCCGUUGUGCCACGUCAGUCGAGUGCAACUAAUUGUGAAAUGUCAAGCUUGAAACGAGUACUAAUUACCUCUGGUUGGAAUCCAACAACCAAAUCACUAACUUGCUGAUGUCAGGGACUUGGGCAUAAGCAGCACCACGAAUCUCAAACCCUCCCCCUGUUCUGUUGAAAGUAAACAUGGCCUCCUCAGCUAGGAUGUCAACAGGUGACACGGUGGUCUCAGUGAUCUUGGCAUUUCUGAGGAUUUGCUGUCUAGCCUCUGGGGAAGUUCUACGAAAUUCAUCCUCCAGCUGUCUCUUAGCUGAAGAAUCACCCAUGACUCUGACUCUUUCCUAGAGUUCUGGUGCAGGUAGACAAGGAGUCUUUCCGAGGUUUACGAAUCCGACUCAAGCAAAUGGGCUAGGUACGUAAAUUUUGGUGUGAAAAUAUAAGAUACAUUUCCCUUACCUGUCCCCCUGUUGGUAACUCGCUCUUGUGCAACAAUCUUCGCGACGCAACUGCUUUUGUUGGGGUUCUGUCAAGUGGUGACUCGAGAAUGGACUGGAGCGAGACCGGGUGAGAGGGGUUUCUGGACGGCCACCACUGGGUGUGACACUGGGUGUGGACUGGUUACUAGGACCGGGGGUGGACUGUGGAGACGGAGUUUGAAUCAUUAACACCUGUCUUGCCAGGGUUGGAGAGCAUCUGGUCACAUGGUCACGGAGACUAGUCAAAGGCUCGUCCAAAAUGUUGUCACAAGAUUGGCAGAGCUGGAUUGGGGGUGGUGUGUCACUGAACCUCGACUGGGACGUUGAAAGUUGGGGCAUUAAUUUCAUGGAGUGAAUCGACUGGAGCAUAUGCCCAUUAGUAAUGCUGUCAUGUUUCCCCCCCCUUCCGAACCUUAGGCUUUCUCCCCGCUCGGCAACUCUGUACAAAUCUAGCACAUGUCUCACAUUGUUCGUUACUAUGUUGUUUCCAAAAUGUUACUCGUAAAGAUGAUUUUGUGCCAUCUUGCUCAAUUGCACUUGUAGCACCUGUUGCAAAACCGGGGAGCU